AGAAGCCGAAAACAUACUCCUCACUCAUUGCAUGACUUCAAGGCAGACAUAAUAAAAAGUUAUUGCAGAUAAAAUGGGCAAGAAAUAAGGGAUAUCUUGGAGCGCUGGCCUGCAUUAUCAGAUGCAACACAGAUAAAUGAAGAAUUCAAGAGGAUAACCACUGUAGGUCUUGAAUCCACAUUUAUGGCCACACUUGACAAAUGCACCCAAAACUAAUGGACCUGGCCUCAUCCAGGGGAGGAGCUAAAGGGGAAAUAAUCGGAAGGAUUAAGGAUAUGCUUCUUGAGAACAAUGCAGUUGAAGUAUGGAGAGAAGUAGCCAUUCACUGUCUUGUUGUCUAUCUUGGAGAGAAAGAAGAGGAUCUUUU
ensembl:processed_transcript si:ch211-92l17.1 si:ch211-92l17.1